UGACGUUUUAAUAUCAUUAGGUAGCAUCAAUUACAUUAGCCUCUAUAAUACGUCUGGUGGAUCAUCUUUCCAAACAAAACUAGCACUAGAAUCAUAUGAUUUAUGAGCUACCUCAUUGGCUUCAUGAGCACACUGUUUAAACAUCACAGUGCCAAUUUGGAUGAUCAGCUUUCCUGGCCACAGGCCUGGUAUGAAAAGGCAGUAUUCUGUUGGAAGAACUUUUUUUUCUCAUGACUAAAAGCAUCAGUAAACAAGAACAUAUAUGCUUAAACAAAAUGGUUUAUUCUUUAUUGAUAUUAGCCACUUAGCAACCUCCUCUUUCUCUUUGCGCAUAAACUCAUGAUUUUCCUUGUGGAUUGUUGCUUCCUUUUUCGAUAUCCUAGAAUUACUUUGAACUGAAGGACACCUCAUUCAACCCCUGCUUAGAUAGGCGUGUCAUGUGCAUUAUCAUUUCAUUCUUAAUAAAGGAAGUCACCACCAUCAUCAUUAACUGUGUGUAUUAUCAUUGAAAUCUUCGACGCAAAAGAAUUAAAGCUGGCUGACUUGUGUGACCAUUUACCAUUUCCUCUCGUACUGAAUUUUGCUCUGCCUUUGUGUGCAGGUUGUUGGUGAUGUUGCCCUCAAGCUUCACGCGGGGGAGCCAUUCACCGAAAUAGAAUUUGUGAACUAGGCAAACUGAGUAGAUGGCGGCAUUGUUGAUUUAAUUUAAGACGUUCCAGUUUGAAGCGGACACCGUCGUCGUCCCUUAGAUUCCCUCCUCCCGCAGAUCGACUCCAGUUGCGUCGACUCCCGCUACCGCCGGGGUAUACUCCGCCAAGAUCGCGCCACCACCGCUGCCGCCACUGGCAUAAACCACUACACAACAUUAUAUGCUAGGAACGACGGGAUGCACGUCAGAAAACUUGUCAUGAAUGAUGCUUCAACGGAUGCUGCAGUCAUCUCAUCUCCGUCAGUCAUGAUGAAAAAACAUAUGAUAAUCCCCAUAAUCCAGUGUCAAUAUUACUGAUUUCUCCAUGUGCUAUGCAGCUUACAGGCAUGGAAAGAGAAUAGGAAAAACGAUAUACUUGCAGCUUCAGGUUUUCUCUAAACUUUUGUUUGCUAUCUUAUUUAAUCACAUGUUCAAUUGAUAAUACACAAAUAUUUGUCUACUUUCAGGCAGCAUUGAGUUUGCUGCACAUAGUUAGUUCCCUAGGGAAUGUUCAGUCUGGUGAAACAUGUUAAGAAGAAGUAUGGAAAUCCGCCCGUGUUCAUUACUAAGAAUGGCAUGAUAGGUUGAAAUAUGUCUUCAAGAUGAUAAGAGGAUACAGUACCACAACGAAUACAUGUUAGAUGCUAUAAGGUGAUUUCAUUUCUCUGUGCAUAUGCUAGAACUGAACCACCAACACUGAGCAUCAUCAAUGUGUGCCACUGUAAUCGCUGACCAGAUUGGUACUUAAGUGCUCGAUAUGCAGCCUGAACUACUGCAGUUAGAAUGGAGUUGUUUUAAAUACUAGACUAUCUACAGGACUGAGCGCUACAGGUGCAGAGGAUAGUUCUUUCGAUUAAUUGUCGUGUUGAGGCAAGUGCACGGCGGACCUUUUCUCCGUAUACUUGACUGUGUUGUUGACGCAGGUCUAUGAAAAUAAGUUGAGUAGUCUGACUAGAGGAUGACAGAGGACGUCCAGAUUUUGAUCCAGCAGCCUUGCCCCCUUUCGUCCGGCGUGCCGCCUGCAGGAGGUUACGUUCUAGAUCUUCAGAAUUUUUAGGUACUCACUCUCCCUUGAUGCUCUUUGAUCGAACCUACUUUGCAGGAAAGCGUGCCAGUAGCAAGAAGUUUUAGCAAGUCUGUUAUUGAAAGUGCUGUAGGCACUGAUGUGAUCCGAGGUGACCAACCUGAGCAGCAGUUUAGUGAAGGUGUUUGAUACAGUUCUCCUAAAAAGGGAGAAGUGUCUGAGGAAAUCUACUUGCUCUUUCAAGCUAUGAAUAUUUUAGAUCAGUAUAUUUUAAGGUUGUAAAGACUGAUGUGUCGGCUAAAGCUUAAAGAUCAUAAAUUCAUUGUUUA